CCUACGGGAGGCAGCAGUGAGGAAUAUUGGUCAAUGGACGGAAGUCUGAACCAGCCAUGCCGCGUGCAGGAAGACGGCUCUAUGGGUUGUAAACUGCUUUUGUACAAGGAUAAACCGAGAUACGUGUGUCUGUCUGCACGUACUGUACGAAUAAGGAUCGGCUAACUCCGUGCCAGCAGCCGCGGUAAUACGGAGGAUCCAAGCGUUAUCCGGAUUUAUUGGGUUUAAAGGGUGCGUAGGCGGUUUGAUAAGUUAGAGGUGAAAGUUCGCGGCUUAACCGGGGAAUUGCCUCUGAUACUGGCGGUCUAGAGAGCAGUUGCGGUAGGCGGAAUGUAUGGUGUAGCGGUGAAAUGCUUAGAGAUCAUACAGAACACCGAUUGCGAAGGCAGCUUACUAAGCUAUGUCUGACGUUGAGGCACGAAAGUGUGGGGAGCAAACAGGAUUAGAUACCCCAGUAGUC
rnacentral:rRNA from 1 species